rnacentral:rRNA from 1 species
GACGAACGCUGGCGGCGUGCUUAACACAUGCAAGUCGAGCGGUAAGGCCUUUCGGGGUACACGAGCGGUGAACGGGUGAGUAACACGUGGGUGAUCUGCCCUGCACUUCGGGAUAAGCCUGGGAAACUGGGUCUAAUACCGGAUAUGACCUCCUAUCGCAUGGUGGGUGGUGGAAAGAUUUAUCGGUGCAGGAUGGGCCCGCGGCCUAUCAGCUUGUUGGUGGGGUAAUGGCCUACCAAGGCGACGACGGGUAGCCGACCUGAGAGGGUGACCGGCCACGCUGGGACUGAGACACGGCCCAGACUCCUACGGGAGGCAGCAGUGGGGAAUAUUGCACAAUGGGCGAAAGCCUGAUGCAGCGACGCCGCGUGAGGGAUGACGGCCUUCGGGUUGUAAACCUCUUUCAGCAGGGACGAAGCGCAAGUGACGGCACCUGCAGAAGAAGCACCGGCUAACUACGUG